AAACGACUCUCGGCAACGGAUAUCUCGGCUCAUGCAUCGAUGAAGAACGUAGCAAAAUGCGAUACUUGGUGUGAAUUGCAGAAUCCCGUGAACCAUCGAGUUUUUGAACGCAAGUUGCGCCCGAAGCCUUUUGGUCGAGGGCACGCCUGCCUGGGCGUCACGCAU
rnacentral:rRNA from 1 species